GAUGAACGCUGGCGGCGUGCCUAAUACAUGCAAGUCGAGCGAACGGACGAGAAGCUUGCUUCUCUGAUGUUAGCGGCGGACGGGUGAGUAACACGUGGAUAACCUACCUAUAAGACUGGGAUAACUUCGGGAAACCGGAGCUAAUACCGGAUAAUAUUUUGAACCGCAUGGUUCAAAAGUGAAAGACGGUCUUGCUGUCACUUAUAGAUGGAUCCGCGCUGCAUUAGCUAGUUGGUAAGGUAACGGCUUACCAAGGCAACGAUGCAUAGCUGACCUGAGAGGGUGGUCGGCCACACUGGAACUGAGACACGGUCCAGACUCCUACGGGAGGCAGCAGUAGGGAAUCUUCCGCAAUGGGCGAAAGCCUGACGGAGCAACGCCGCGUGAGUGAUGAAGGUCUUCGGAUCGUAAAACUCUGUUAUUAGGGAAGAACAUAUGUGUAAGUAACUGUGCACAUCUUGACGGUACCUAAUCAGAAAGCCACGGCUAACUACGUG
rnacentral:rRNA from 1 species